GAGGGUAUAGCUCAGUGGUAGAGUUCAUGGCUAGCAUGCACAAGGUCCUGGGUUCAAUCCCCAGUUAUCUCC
rnacentral:tRNA from 1 species